rnacentral:lncRNA from 1 species
AGGGACAUGGAUGAAGCUGGAAACCAUCAUUCUCAGCAAACUAUCGCAAGGACAAAAAAACAGACACCGCAUGUUCUCACUCACAGGUAUGAUGGCAUAUUCCUGUGGUACCAGCUACUUAGGAGACUGAGGUGAGAGAUACAGCUUGAGCCAGGGAGGUUGAGCCUGCAGUGAGCCGUGAAUAUGCCACUUCACUCCAGCCUGGGCAACAGAGCCAGAUCCCAUCUCCAAGGGAAAAAAAAAACCACUCCUAGAUGAUUACUCUAGAAUAGAAUCUAUGUCCUCAAGGAGCCAUGAAAGGGAACUCAAAGGAUUUCAGGAUUGGCAGGAACACCAAGAGAAGGCGGAAAUCUUCAAGUCAGAAAGAGAGCUCGCUGAAACCUGACCAUGUUGGCACCCUGAUCUUAGACUUCCAGGCUCUGAAACUAUACUUGUUGCAUGGUUUCCAUUCUGUGCUGCCUUCUCUUCUGGACGAUGGGGUUAGGAUAGUGAAUGAGAAG